rnacentral:rRNA from 1 species
UGGGGAAUAUUGGACAAUGGGCGCAAGCCUGAUCCAGCAAUGCCGCGUGGGUGAAGAAGGCCUUCGGGUUGUAAAGCCCUUUAAGCGGGGAGGAAAGCCGGGGUGUGAAUAAUACCUCGGGGUGACGUUACCCGCAGAAUAAGCACCGGCUAACUCCGUGCCAGCAGCCGCGGUAAUACGGAGGGUGCAAGCGUUAUCCGGAUUUAUUGGGUUUAAAGGGUGCGUAGGUGGAAUGAUAAGUCAGUGGUGAAAUCCUGCAGCUUAACUGUAGAACUGCCAUUGAUACUGUUGUUCUUGAGUGUAGUUGAGGUAGGCGGAAUGAGUAGUGUAGCGGUGAAAUGCUUAGAUAUUACUCAGAACACCGAUUGCGAAGGCAGCUUACUAAACUAUUACUGACACUGAUGCACGAAAGCGUGGGGAUCGAACAGG